rnacentral:rRNA from 1 species
CCGGCGACCGGCGGACGGGUGCGUAACGCGUAUGUAACCUACCUUUGACAGGGGGAUAACAUCGAGAAAUUGGUACUAAUACCCCAUAACAUCACCGGAGGCAUCUUCGGUGGUUGAAAACUCAGGUGGUCAGAGAUGGACAUGCGUUGUAUCAGCUAGUUGGUGAGGUAACGGCUCACCAAGGCGACGAUACAUAGGGGGACUGAGAGGUCAACCCCCCACAUUGGUACUGAGACACGGACCAAACUCCUACGGAAGGCAGCAG